AAAAACACUUCCUUACCCUGUUCAGAGUCAUGAUAAUGCAUUCAAACUGUGUUGAAAAGCUAAGUUUGGGGUAAAAACCCCAAAAUUCCUUACCCUGUUCAGAGUCAUGAUAAUGCAUUCAAACUGUGUUGAAAAGCUAAGUUUGGGGUAAAAACCCCAAAAGCUCCCAAAGCCCAAGAAAGUGCGAGAACAAAAAGAAAAAAAUGAUGAAUCGAGAGAAAGAAAGAAAAAAAUAAAAAGAGAAAAAUCUAUAACUCGAAGAUUAAAAAAGAAGCACGAA
rnacentral:lncRNA from 1 species